UAGGGAAUCUUCCGCAAUGGGCGAAAGCCUGACGGAGCAACGCCGCGUGAGUGAUGAAGGUCUUCGGAUCUUAAAACUCUGUUAUUAGGGUAGAACAAAUGUGUAAGUAACUAUGCACGUCUUGACGGUACCUAAUCAGAAAGCCACGGCUAACUACGUGCCAGCAGCCGCGGUAAUACGUAGGUGGCAAGCGUUAUCCGGAAUUAUUGGGCGUAAAGCGCGCGUAGGCGGUUUUUUAAUUCUGAUGUGAAAGCCCACGGCUCAACCGUGGAGGGUCAUUGGAAACUGGAGAACUGGAGUGCAGAAGAGGAAAGUGGAAUUCCAUGUGUAGCGGUGAAAUGCGCAGAGAUAUGGAGGAACACCAGUGGCGAAGGCGACUUUCUGGUCUGUAACUGACGCUGAUGUGCGAAAGCGUGGGGAUCAAACAGG
rnacentral:rRNA from 1 species